UUCCACGAUAUCGAAAGAACACGUUCGCACAACUUUUACACGACAAACAGCUGUUUUCCGUUCCACUAAAAUCCAUCAGAACGAAAAUUUGCACGAAAAUCAAAGCGAACGAAAACGUAAGCAUUUCAGUGUAAUUUUGCGUUCCACUAUCUUUUUUCUUUCGUACGCAUGCGAACACAAAUGUCAAAAUCAGUCACUUGUGUGUUUGCUAUCGUAUAAUAACAAUUAAGGAAAAUUGUUUUAACAUAAACAUUGCUUGAUUGAAAAUGGAAACAAAAAUCACGAAAAAAUCAUCAACUACACAGCUGCGGGCACUAGUUGAGUAUAUGGAGGAGAAUCCUGUGUUCGCCAGAGGAGUGCCAAUUUUUGGAAGCAGCAGAAGAAGUUUUAAAUCGGGGCGGAUUUGGGUAGUUCUGCAACCGGGCACCCACAUCUCUUCCAUCAUAUCCAAAAGAGCCCGAAAACUUCCUUCGACACACCAAAAUUGGACACAAACCUAGAAAAAAUCAUUUUUUAUUAUUUCAAAAAUGUAAAAAUACAAUCAUACUUACUGGUUGUUAGGUACUUCAAAUAAAUUCGAAGCAUCUCUUAAA